AGGCCGCUCCCCACGCUCAAAUAAUCCCCUCAGUCUGAUGCCUGAACUCCUGCCUGCAGAGCUGCACAGGAUUUGGGUGUGGUGUCUAAACAAACACACAGCCAGAAUGGGGUCCUGCAGCUGCUGUCAGAAGGUUAGCACCCCAAACCUUGUCCGACUGUGGUUUAUCCAAUACUGAUCCUCUAUCCCAGAAUCCUUAUCUAUUUCCACAGAUCUCCCUUUCAGAAUUCUUAUAGUCCUCUUCAAGCAUUCCAUUUUUGGUGCCUUUAAAACAACGGUUUUCUCUUCGCCUUAUCUGCAAGUCACUCCUGCAAGUCUCUGGCCUUUUCUACCCGACCCUUCUCCACCUGCGUCUCGGGAGCCCCUCAGUGCUCGCACAGUGCAGACCAGUCUUCAGCAUUCCUCUCCCCGAGCUGGGCUCCGCCUAUUGCGGUAAAAGCAGCGCUUUUGCGAUGACUGCGCGACCAGGAAGACAUGCGAGUGCCGAGCAGCCACUGGUGAUCUCUAGGACCAGCAGAGUGUGUGUUUUUAAAAGUCAUUUGAUUCUUACAUUUGGCCAAUGUCAAAUACUCUGCAUUUCAUGGGGAAGGAAAUCGGUAAAGGAAGGAAAAGAGC
rnacentral:lncRNA from 1 species